GGGGCGGGCCGGGGGCAUGGCCCGGCCGGGCAGGCGGAGAGGGAGAGCGGAAGAGGAGAGAGACAGCGGUUUUCCCAGAAUCUUCUCCACAAUCCUGUUUGCUCUUUCCAAGAACCUUUGCUGGAGAAUGAGGAAGCUUUGAGCAGUUUCUGUCACAAGAUGUGCCACCAGCUGCAGCUUCUCUUGGCUUCCCACACCGUGUGUGCAGCUCGACUCUUGCAGAAAAGUGGGACAAAUAUUUGAAGAACUUUAUAGCUUGUUCUUUCUUUUCCUUGUGGGCUGGGCAGUUGUGCCAUUGGUGAGAUUUUCACUGUUAUUGCUCUAGCCUAAGAAACCAUGACGGGCUCCCAGGAAUUGUCAGGGAAUGCAGAGAAAGAAUCUCCCGAGCCUGCAGCCAGAACUGGAGAGCAGUGUGAUAAUCGUUCCAACAUGCCCAUGGACAUCUUGAAAGUGAUGUAGAAGAUGAAAAUGGGCUGACAGAGGGAGUUUGUUUCUGUGUUCAGUUUAGAAGCUUCCACAUCUCAAGCACUGAUAUAAAUCAAGAGUACAAUCAGUGCAUGAAAAGCACGAGAACAAGCUGGUCCUCUCAGUGGUUGGCUGAAAGAAUCUGAAAAGGAAAAAAGCAGGGAAUGAUUUCGUGAACUUUCCCUGUACAAUGGAACAUUUUUACUAAUAAUUUCCAACCCAUUCCCUCCGCUUUUGUCCUUCCUAACAAGGCCAUUUUCAUCCCAGAUUCCCCAUGAAGUAAGAACCCUGAGCUUGUGGAAGUGCCUGAAAGAUGCCCUGUUCCUCUGCAGGGACACUCAGGCUGGAGCAGGAGCCCUCUCUGGGGAAGCCUCCUCCGAGCUGGAAUUUGUACCUUGCUGGGAGAGGAGGAGGAGGGGGAGAAGGCUGGGCACUGUGUGGCAGGAGCAGGGAUUUGGGCCGCAGGACAUUCCGUCUGUGCCGCUGCCCCACAAUGGGCGGGAACGCUGUGGGGAUAACUGGGGGACACUGGAGCGGAAUAUGGAUGGCACUGGGGGGAACUGGGAGGGCCUGGGAAUGAACUCAUGUGUCUUGGGAGGGACUGGGCUGUACUGGGAUGGAUUGGAGGGGCACUGGGGCUGUACUGGGCUGUACUAGGGAUGAACUGGGCUGUGCUGGGAAGGACUGGAGUGGCACAGGGGUGUUGCUAUCGCGCUGGUGUGGUAGUGUGGAGGAAGGGAUUUAGAAAGGCCUUGGGAAUUGGAAACUGAGGAAAAGAUACAUUUAGGUAUGAGGAAAAGAUACAUUUAUGUAUGCCCCAUUGUUUCGGGAAAGUUUCGCUUCAGCAUCUUUAUGUAAACCCCCUUCUCCCCACCCCUGAGCAGUUCCCAUUGGACCUGACCCCUGGGGUGGUUCUGAUGGGCCCAUGCUGAACACUGUCUCUAUUGUUUAGACCUUAUCUCUUAAUUUUGCUGUAUAAAACUGUAUCUGGGCAGUAGCCCAGGGUCUUUUGUCCCUGCAACUGUUCAGGCAAUACAAUCUCUCUGGACUG